rnacentral:rRNA from 1 species
GACCAAGGAGUCUAACAUGUGCGCGAGUCAUUGGGACUGCGAAGCCUAAAGGCGAAAUGAAAGUGAAGGUCGUACCGUAAGGUCGACAGAGGGAGGAUGGGCCGUGUCUGGGCGCGGCUCCGCACUCCCGGGGCGUCUCGUUCUCAUUGCGAGAAGAGGCGCACCCAGAGCGUACACGUUGGGACCCGAAAGAUGGUGAACUAUGCCUGGUCAGGACGAAGUCAGGGGAAACCCUGAUGGAGGUCCGUAGCGAUUCUGACGUGCAAAUCGAUCGUCGGAACUGGGUAUAGGGGCGAAAGACUAAUCGAACCAUC